GCCUGGGAACAGCUUCCAGGGUAAUCCGCUUCUGUUAGAGGGAAGAUAGGAGACAGUACUCAUAAAGGUCAAGCUCUAGCAAAGGGAGGUCUCCAAGAUGAAAAAGGAUCCAUGCUCCUUAGAGAUUUAUUCAUCUUAAAUAUGAAUCAAGAGGCAACUGGAAGGAGAAGGCAAAUGAAGAAUGUACCUACCAUUGGCACAUUGUUCAUAGAGUUGUUUUUGAGCCUUGGUGGAAUCUCUAACUGAUUGCAGAAGUUUUGUGGACGAAUCAUCAAACUGCUGUUGAUAAUAAUUAAUGCAGAAUGUAUCAGAACGGGAAAGAAAGACUGAAGCUACCUCCAGAGCAAUGCAUGGUCCACAGUCAACACAGAACAGCUUCUCUCCUCUGACUCCGAAUCUUGGUUGUUAAGAGUAAACUUCCUUUGAUUUUCCCCAGGUAGGAAAAGAAAACUUGUUCUAGAAUUUGGAAAACAUGUGAUGGCUUUAAUCAAUAAAAUACUCUGAGACUCUGCUUACUCUCAAUUGUAGAAAUGACACAUAGGAAUCGGUUUUAUCCAGGAAAGAAAGGCAUGGUCCAAAAGACACAAGAGUGUGUUGGAAAUUGGUUAUCCCAGGAAAUCCGGAAUGCAGCAUAUUCUUCUGCAAAAACUCCU